CAGUAGCCGCGGUAAUACGGAGGGUGCGAGCGUUAAUCGGAAUUACUGGGCGUAAAGCGUACGCAGGCGGUUUGUUAAGUCAGAUGUGAAAUCCCCGAGCUUAACUCGGGAACUGCAUUUGAAACUGGCAGGCUAGAGUCUCGUAGAGGGGGGUAGAAUUCCAGGUGUAGCGGUGAAGUGCGUAGAGAUCUGGAGGAAUACCGGUGGCGAAGGCGGCCCCCUGGACGAAGACUGACGCUCAGGUACGAAAGCGUGGGGAGCAAACAGGAUUAGAUACCCCAGUAGUCCCUGUCUCUUAUAC
rnacentral:rRNA from 1 species